UGCCCACCACCAUCAGCUCCUGCUCUGUGGCCUUCCUCCGGAAGCGCUGCCACACGUCGAUGGCAAACAAGGUGCUGCUGCUGUUGAAGAUGGAGGUGAGUGAGCUCAUGAGGGCGGCCAGGAUCACGGCGAUCAUCAGGCCCCGCAGACCUGGGGAGAGGCGAGGUCUCCCGUGAAGGCCAGCUCCGCAGAGCCAUGGAGGCUGCAGCGUCAGGCGGAGCCGGGAGUCUGGGGGUGGUGCUGGCCCUGCAUGAGGUCCCCCUCCAUGCAGAUAAGGAGUCCAGGAAAACCAGAGGCCGGCUUCUGGAUAAGCUCUGCCUUCGCCCCGCUCUGCCCUCUGCCCUGUUCUAUGGCCUUGGGCAAGCCAUCCCAUCUACCCUGCCCAGUGCCAGCUCCCUUAUCUGCAUCCCUAAGAGCCGUGCGGCUAAGUGGUCCUUCAGGUUCUCUGCAGCUUUGACGUCUCAGUCUGGGCGUCAGAGCCUGGAGACACUUGGUUAGUGGGCCCCUGAUGGGGAGGAGGGUGACGGUUAAUAAUUGAGUGUUUUCAGUUUUUGUUUUCACCGACAUUGAGGUGCCAGGUUAAAGCCCUCGCCUAGGACAGGUGGCCCUGGGAAGCCCUGGAUUUGUUUCCUGGUUCUGCAAGUAACCAGGCCUGGGUACCAGCCCACCUCCUGAAAGCCUAUGGAGAGAGACCACAGUGAGCGACACAGCCCCGAGACCCCAGUGGACCUGUCACAUGCCCCCACCCCACCUCCCAGUCCCAUGUGGAGCCCCGGGGCUUGGAACUGGCACCUGCACCCCAACGCGACCCGCCCUUGGCCUUACCUGCAAUGGUGUAGACAGCUGUCACCACCAGAAGCAUCGCCGUGGAGAGGUAUAGGUUCCAGCCCAAAGCGAUCUGGAUGAACAGGGCUCCAGAGAAGAUGUCAGUCUGCAGAGAGCCGGGACCCAGGAGUCCAGGUCACCUGAGGCCCUUGCUGUGGCCACCAGGGUAUGAUGCCUCCUGCUCAGCCAUACCAAGUGCUGUCAGCCCUCAUCACAUAAUGAGCCUGAGCCUAAAGUGCCAUGCUGAGGAGAAUGGGCUUGGCCUCGGGGAUGCUGAGGAGCCGUGGAGAUUUUCAGGCAGAGGAGCACCGCAUAAAACUUUGAAACCGAGAGCAAUGAGGUCUGGUGGCACUGAUGGGAUAGUCUGUGGGCCGUGAUGGCAGGGGAGAAGGAAUGAAGAGAAGACAGAGGAGAGGAAGUGGGGAGCAGGGGUUGGAGAAGAGAGAGCAGGCACCCAGAGGCCUUUUCCCUAGCAGAGCAGAGGCCCACCCAGCUGCCAGGGGGCCCACGCUGACCAGACCGGCAGGAGCCCCAGGACAGAUGACCGCACUUCUGGAGGCUCUACAUGUUUGGGUUUAUUAGAGGACCCGGCUGACCAGACAACAUGCUGACUUAGGCUUGUUUUCCAGCAUUGGUGGACAAGUGGCUGUACCAUUUUUCCCAUCUCUCGACCUGGCAACUCGUGGACUCAGUCCCCUUCAGUGCCUGCUUGCUGAUCCCAUUGCAUGGCUGUUUCAUGAACCCAUCCCAGGGCUACAACAGGACGGAGUGCCAGGAUGCCUGGACCGGGUCACAGGACCCAAACUUUAGUUCAGUCCCACAGCUCUAUUCUGUGUGGACAUGGGCGAACCAUUUGCCCUAGGUACUUCUCAUUCAUCUGUGAUCGCUCCACUGCUGAGGGACAGCAUGCAUUGAAGGGAGAAAAGAUGGCCACAUUGCGGUGGGUACUCACUGAAAUCUUGGUGAAGAUGUAGAGGAUGAGAGACAGGACAGACAUGUACACCUGGAUCCUCUGGCCCCCGAAUCGCUUCUUCAGUAUAGGAAACUGAGUCCCGAGAAGAGACAUGUUUAUUCCAAGCCACAAAGUGGGGCCGGAAUUCACACUCCUGCCUUGUGCUGUGACAGAUGAGUGAUCCUGGGAAGGACACGGAGCACGCCGGAUCCAGGGAAGACCAGCUGCCCCAGGGCCCAGGCAGACUGCUAGUCCCAGCAGCCCAGCCCACUGAGCUGCAGAGUGACCAUGGACAGGUCACUAAGUGACUCCGGACCUGGGGUCCCGUCAGCGUGGCCUAUACCCUGCCCACCUCGCAGGGCCAGUGAGUGCCGGUCCUCCUAUCCUCCCCUCCGGAAGUUACCCUUAGGGUUCCACUGCCCACACGCCCUGUCCCCCAGCCCCAUCCUCACAGACACCCAAUGCCAAGCCCUCACCCUGCACAUUUUACCUAACCUAAACCAGCAGGCUGGGCCCAUAGCAGCCAUCCCUCUGAUGCAUCUGAGACCCAUCUGUUAGCCAGCCAGACAUCUUAACAGCCCAGUGCCAAGAGAGUGCCAGGAAGGAAGUGAGAGAGGUUUUGAAACCUUCAGAAUAGACUCUGUGAAGCUUAUACAUGAAGGCCACCUGCUGACGCAUCGGUGAGCCCCAGAUCCCCCACUCAGGGCCUGUCUUGUUUUGCUUCGCCUAGAGUGUUAUUUUGUGCUGCAGCUCACAGCAAAUUAAAAACAACAACUUAGUGGGAGAGAGACUGCCAGAGGCGUGCAGGGCAUUGCAGGGCCAUGGGGGGCAGAGGGGGACGGCCACUGAUGGGUGCACAGCACAUGGGCGUCCUGAUAACCAGGGAAAGUGGAAAGGAUGACGUAAGAGAGGCCAAAUUAGAGCGAACAACCUAGGAAUCAGGCUCCAUCAAUUUUCAGCCGAGGCCAUUCCUGAACGCCAGCUGAGGAUUCAUAUGCAAAGCAAUGACCCAGAGUCACUGAGGAAAGAUCGCACCGUGCCCAUUAUGGAUUUUCUAUUUAGCAUGGAUUAUGAAAUCCAGACAGGAAGAGUUUCAUCCAAAAUGGUUUGACAUUUGAGGCAGGUGCUGGCAGGCCAGGAGGAGGCCCCACUUAUGCAGGAAAUCCUCUCGGAGAACCCCCGAGACGGAGGAUGUGGUGGUGUUGUGGUUCUUACAGUAAGUGCGCACCUGUUCCGCACCUGGCUCUGGGGGCCCCCGGGAGGCCGACCAGCGUGCUGCCAGGCUGGCCGGAAAACAGCCGGGCACACGGGACAGGCGCCUUCAGCACAAGGCAUGUCAAGAUUCACCCCCCUCCCUCUGAGCUGCAGAGUUCCGGGAAGGAACGACCGAGUCCAGUUGGGGAGGCGGGGCGGGCUCUCCGGGGAAGCGCAGCAGAAGUAGCAGGCUGAGAGGGUGGAGAGAAACCAAACAAGCUGGCCUGGCAGCCAACCCUGGCAGGGUGGGAGCUGCAGGGACAGUGUUUACAUGAAGAUACAAGUGUUGAAUAACAGCGUCGGACAAUGCAGUUUCUGAGGAGUAUCUGAACCGAGGCUGCGUUUUCAGAGUUACAGCAGCGGCAGGGACUGUGUGGCCGAGUUUCAGUUGGGGGGCGACAGAAGAACUACAUCCCCCUGGACCAGCUGUUUAGGUCAGUUGCUUCACAAGGUUGCUUUUAGGGUCCGGCUCCCUGCGUUCUCUUUAUUCCGUGUGUGUGUGUGUGUGUGUGUAGUUUGCAGUAGGUAGACCAGGAACCUCACUCCUGGCAUUCACAGCUGGCGUCUCCCUUAGGCUUUAGGCUGUGCCGUCGCUGAAGACUCUGGAAACCAGGGUUCUGCUUCGACUCCUGGGGCCAGCUACUUCUCUAGCCUUAUGGCCUUGUCUUCGGAGGUCACCACCCAAAGUGUCAGUUCCCUUGGACAGCUCAACUCUCCCCUCCCUAUCCUUGCCAUGCUAUGUUUGCGCAGCCCCUUGCCAACCUCCUGCCACUCCGCUCAUGUCCAGCCAUGCACAGGGCCCAUGCCCGUGGCCUCUCUACCCUCAAGCUCCUCACUGGCAGACUGUCCACAACUGUCACGGUGUCCAGGUUGUCCCACGGGCAGCCUGCUCACGUGAAGGCUCUUCCUCCCCUCGUGCCCUCAGAGUUUGGGUCGGAAUCCUUGCUGCUGCACGUAACCGGAUGUGCUUCCUGGAAGGGCCACGCUGCCCCUCGUCCCCAGGUCUCCUAUGUGCCGGGUGCUCCCCCACCAUCCUUUCCCUGAAGACUUCGCUGACUCCCUAGUCUGGGGAGUGUCCCCAAACCCAACCUGUCCCCCCCAUUCAUCUCACUGAUGUGGGCUUACUAGAUGUGAGCCCCUCAAGGGAUCUGGGUACCUCAUUCCCAUUCAUGUCCCUAACGAGCGACUGGCACCAAGUCCGUGCUUAAAGAGUGGAGAAUGGUUUUCAAAGACUGUGUUGGGGUGAGAGGCACAGUGGGCAGUGAGCAGAAGCAGACAGGUUCUCCAGGCAGAAGGAGGCAGGAACAUGGCAGGGGAGUAUAAGCAGGUGUGGGGUGUUCGGGGAAUGGCUUGUUGUGGCUGGGCUGCAGCCUAGGGUCUGGAGGGAGAAUCUGGGCAAGGGGCAUGAGAAGAAAGGGAGUGGUGAGACUGGCAUUCUAGAAAAUCCCUCUGGGGGCCAGCGUGGGGGCUAGAUGAGGAUGAGGAAGCUGGCACAAGAGAUAAGGUGGAGACUGGCAUCUAGUUAGAAGGAUGGAGAGGAAAGGGUCCUGGCUGCGUUCUUACCCAACUGGGAAACAUGUGGACCUUUGUGGCUUUCUCUCCCGUGGGGUCCCUGUCCCAACCAUGGUGCCAGGGUUCAGGACCCUCCAUGCUGGGUGGCCCUUCCCUUCAACUCCCAGUGCCUAUAAACCCUCAUCCCCGCCACUAAGCCACGAAUGGGAAACAACCUUCAGAUUGUUCCAUUCCCAAAAGGACCAACAUUGUAGCCAGGGUAGGCAGGGUGGGAAGACUUUGGCUAAGGGAAUGACAGAUGAUGAGAUCUUGAGCACGAGCCAUGAAAUGCUGAUGGUACAAAGUGGGCUGGGACCCCCAAAUCCACCGCGGAACCAAGAGUUUUCCAUGUAGAAGGGAACCUCCCCUCCCUAUACUGUCUGGGUACCCCCAUCUCCUCCAGCACCCUAGGAAGCCCCCGGAAGAACCCUGGGCAGGCUCACUGGUACCUCUGGCUGGCCUCGCCCUGGCUGCUUGCAGGUUCUUCCUGAAAAACCACUCUUGGCCAGCCUUCCUGCUGAGAACUUCCUCUUCUGAGAACAAUACGGGGUAAGGACUAAAUUUGCCAGUAUGUGCCAGAAAUAUUGGGUAGGUCACAGCCCAAAUAUGAGUGCCACUAUUAUAGUAACUGUAGGCAUUGGCCUCAUGAUUCCUAUUUUGCAGCUCAUUGGGGAUGUGACAUAAUUAUGGCUUAUUUGGAUUUUGAAUUCGGGCUUGACUCACUCCAAACACUGUUACAUACUGUCCUUUUUCUCCUAAUCCUAUGUCUACGGGGGCAGACACGGAAGAUGUAUCCCGUCGGAUGGAGGGGUAGAAGUCAGUUCCGUGUGGCUUCCUCUAAUGGGAGCUCUGAGCAGGGCCCAAAGACGGCUGGACUGGGGACGGGAACCCACUGGGGUCCAGAUCUGGUUCCAGAGACCUCAGCCCCUUGCCUGCACCCCAGCCCUCAGCCACCCUUCCUUCCCUAGCCACCUCUGCCCUGUCCCCACCACCACUCUAGCUCUCAGCUCAAAUGGCUCAUGAUCCCCCCUCCCCUGUCACGUGCCUAUGAUCUGAUCAUUUCAAACCCAAAUGCAAUUCCAUCUGAUUGACCCCAGCCACUCCGUGAGCACACUCCUUGCAAGGCCCUUUGUCAGGGCUGUCUCACUGCACAGCUCCAGGGACACCUCUCCCCCAGGAUGCAGCAUCAGUGGUUCCCCCGGCCUUACGGAAGGCUGUGCUCUCUGCAGUGGGGAGACGGAUGUAAGCAAGGCCUCUUAAUUCCAAGAGGAAAGGAUUAUUACAUAGGAAGAGCAGACCGAGAAAGGUGGUGACAGAGCCCCAGGGAAAGAGAAAAGACAGGAAAGAAAAAGAAGAGGUUUACAGGCUCCAGUCACCACACAUGUAGUCCUGUCAGACGGGGCCGACCCCUACCUGUGCCGCCGGCCUCACAGAACCUGCUGGGGCCACUCCCAGCCUCACACUCCCGGGUCUGCUCUGCUCUGGCCUGGCCUCUGACAGCUCCAGUCCAGGUGGUGGAUGAGACCUGGCCCCUCCCCCAGGGAGGGGGCGGGGGAAAGCCCCAAAUCUCUCUCCAGCUGCUGGGCCGGGUUCCGAGGGACCUCCCCUGUCCUUGCUGCUUGAUGUUGUCUCGGGAAAAGAGAAUUUGUGCUGCACUCAGGGUUCUAGGGGCCCCCAGGGCCAGAUGUGGAAGACCACAGCUCAGAGUUAGCUUCUGUGGCUGCUGUGGCCACUGUCAGCCAUCUGGCUAGACAGGUUUCCCAAGACAGGAGGUGAGGCAGGGCUGGCACUAGAAACUUGGGCAUCCUUUGGAGCUUGGGAGGGUCUCAGGAUGGGUCACAGGUGUGGCUGGCACACCCACACACAGCCCCCACACACAGCUCGUGCACAGGUGUGGCUGGCACACCCACACACAUGCCUGUGCACACACACACAGCUAGUAGCUUGUCUAGGAAACACUGUGGAGUCGUCACAAGUACACAGAAUCUCAAGUCCUAUCAGCUCAGGCUCAUUUAGGUGCCUCCAUGCCCUGGCAAAGCCCUUCACCUUUCUCAGCCCCCUUUUCUCUUCUGUAACUUAGAGAUAGUGACUAUCUCACAAGUGGUUGGAAGGACGAGUUAACACAAUGGAUUUGAAAAUGUUUUAUAAGCUGCCAAGUACAGUGCCUCUGGGAGGCAUCACUGUUAGCUGAGUCCCUGCAGGAUUUCAGCCUCAGUCGUGAGUCCCUGUGGCCAGACUUGGGGAAAGUAAGAGAGUCACAGAUGAGUCCUGGUUCCGCUGCUCACUAGCUACACUGAUGGAAGAAUUAUUUAACCCACUAAGCACACAAUUUUACAUCUGUAAAAUGAGGUAAUGAUAUGCUGGAAAAACAGGAGUGAGGGAAAUGAAACGAGAUAAUGUGUAUGUAAUGUGAUGCUGAACUAUGAGAUGAUGGACUAUUUCUGUCUCAUUUUUGGCUGAGGUCCAACGGGUGAGACCGAUCUAACAGGUGCCUAUCCUCCCCCACACCUUCCCCUGCCCCCAACCCUCCUGCCGUCUAGAUGUGAGACAGAACUCCUAGGGAGCCUUGCUACCGUGACCUUGGCAGUGGGGGGAGCUCAGUGUACCUACUGCCCCCCCCCAACCACCGCCACCCCUCAGCAUCGAACACUGUGCUCACCCUGAAGUCCACUGGCCCCAACCACUCCUGGCCAGUGGCUGAGUGUGGCUGACACUGUACCUGUCCCUUCCUGUGGGAGGUGUGGCUCAUAUAAUGGGCAUUUCUGCCUGGAGGACUCCAAGGGCCAACCAAAACCUUCUUAGACCUGCCUGGGAUCUCUUCCCCUUUUUCCUCCCAGUUAUUCCUGCUUCCUCCCCUUUGUCCUCUCGUCUCCAGCUGAUUUCUUGCCUGUCCCAUCCCGUCUCUGUGACAGCUUCUCAGAGGACCCGUGUAUGCGCCAUCCCUGGCCAUCCAUCUGCAGCCUGUGACAGAGUGGCUGCUCCAGGGCCAGCUGGGGAAGUGGCCGUUGCUUUGGAAAGGGUUGUUAGAGGCAUGUGUCCACCCUGCCUCACUUUCCCUCAGGUGGGGAGGAGGCCAGUCCUGUCACCCCCAGCAAGCAACAGACAAGAGUUUCAGAGGGUCUGUGGCAGAGCUUAAAUGUGUCCCAGGGCCUGGUGAUUUACAGGCAGGAGGUGGUCUAGGCUGGGGGUGUUUUGAAAAGCGGAAGUGGGCCAAGCAGGGAGACAGGCAGGGUCGGGAGCACAAAAUACCGGACAGUGACCUUUGGGCUCGUGGUCUGGGCAGACAGGACUAAGGGUCUUUAAGGCCAUCACCCCCACACUUGCUCUUCCCAGCACUGCAGACGGCCAUCUGACUGGCACAUUUCUCCUUUUCCUCCCUCCUCUCCUCUGGACUCCCAGGCUAGUACAGGAGUCACAGGCCCUGUACUCCCAGGCCAGCACUGCCUGCACCACGCUGUGUCCCCCACAGACAGUGGGUGCCUCUGGGCAGCAGCGGUUCUGACAGGCCCCUGUGACAAAGACCCUGAGUCCCCGGACCAGAGAAAGGUCACCAGGAGGAUGGGGACUUCCUGGCAUCAGAUGUCUUCUCCGCAGACAUUGGUCUUUAGGAGGAACCAGAGCACAAUCCAAGAGUGAGGGGCUGGGCCCAAGUGGCAGCAGACAGCAGAGGACAUAGGUCUGGCCUAGUGUCCCAGGAGCUGUUUCUACUACCAGCAUGUUUGUGAUCCUCGACACGUAGACCCACACGUCACCAUGCCAUUAUGGGCCCCUGUAUCCUCAUCUGUGAAAUGAGAGGUCAUUUCUAAUGACCCUGCAACUCUAAAGGGCUAUCAAAUUAUCCACCGAGUCCCCUCUAGCCUUUCGGUUCUAAGAGUCAUGGAGAAAGUGGCAUCCAGUCAGAGCUGUGGUUGGAAACCAGAAGAUUGAGGGCUCCAAGUCUACAGGCGUUAAGGUCAGGCACUCCUGGGCCCCAGGCCUGGCCCUGGCACUCAUCAGUGUGUGUGGUUGGCUGGCUUGCUUUCUCUCUCUCAGCCUCAGUUUCCUUGUAUGUGAAAUGGGGCAACAAAGUGUGCCUUGCAGGGUCAUCCCGAAGUAGAGGGUGAGUAUGUAAAGCACAGAGCACUGGGCCUGUCACAGUGAUGCCCUA